GUCUGUGGUUAGACCACCCUGAAUGCUCCAGAUUGAAUGAUCUGGGGAGAUCAGCAGGGCAGGGCCCGGAUAGUCCUUGCAUGGGAGACACAGUCUUGGGGAGCA
rnacentral:rRNA from 1 species